UACGGAGGGGGCUAGCGUUGUUCGGAAUUACUGGGCGUAAAGCGCGCGUAGGCGGACCUGCAAGUCGGGGGUGAAAGCCCGAGGCUCAACCUCGGAACUGCCUUCGAUACUGCCGGGCUAGAGUCCGGAAGAGGCGAGUGGAACUCCUGGUGUAGCGGUGGAAUGCGCAGAUAUCAGGAAGAACACCAACGGCGAAGGCAGCUCGCUGGGACGGAACUGACGCUGAGGCGCGAAAGCGUGGGGAGCGAACAGG
rnacentral:rRNA from 1 species